CAGCAGUAGGGAAUCUUGCGCAAUGGGCGAAAGCCUGACGCAGCAACGCCGCGUGAGGGACGAAGGCUUUUGAGUUGUAAACCUCUUUCGGCAGGAACGAUUGUGACGGUACCUGCAGAAGAAGCACCGGCCAACUAUGUG
rnacentral:rRNA from 1 species